rnacentral:lncRNA from 1 species
GUUGUUUUGUUUGGUUGGUUUGUGUUCUGUCACCUUUUUAGCACCCAGUUUCUGAAUCCUUUCUUCCAAUUUUUGGUUAUUAGCUUUUUGAGGUGGAAGGAUCCUCGCUCACAGCCUUUUCUCCCUGCAGCGCUUUCUUUCGAUGCAGAACGAGCCCCAGGCACCCCAGCAGGCCGCACGCUUCUCUUUCGCGGUGGAUGAGGUCGCCUGCAGAUCCAGGCUGGGCCUUAUGGGCUGCCCAGGCGGAGAUUUUUUUAAAGAGCCUCGUGGGGCAUAGCACCAUCGGUAAAUGCCUGGUACAUUUAAGAAGCCUGACUGUGGGAGAGGCCCUCUACAAACGCUGUUACCUGGAAUCUGAGAACUAACGCCAUUCUCCAUUUCAAGAUGCCUUUGCCGUUUUGACAGAUGCAAACUGACCCCUCUCGAGGCCACGGCAGAAGGGGAAUCGUGACUGUCUGAAGCCUGGAAGACUGCCCUCAAUUAAGGAAA